rnacentral:lncRNA from 1 species
AUGAAAGACACAGAGAGAGGCAGAGACAAAGCAGAGGGAGAAGCAGACUCCCUGGGGGAGCCCUAUGCGGGACUCGAACCCAGGACCCCGAGAUCACACCCUGAGCCAAAGGAAGACGCUCAAUCACUGAGCCACUCAAACGUCCCUCUAACUCUGUUUCUCAUCGGUCUAAAAGCACCCUUCAGGGUAUCCUGUUGGAAUAAUCCACGUCGCACAGUCGCGUAAUUGAGUUCAGGUCACAAUGCAAGCCAACUGCUCUGGAAUACCAACUCGCAAGCACCACUCAACGAGAGGAUACGUCUUUAUCCUGCACAGAGGACCUAGAGACGCUGUGCUAUCACCCACGUGACGUACAGUGCUUCUGAAUACCAAUGGUGUUCACCAGGAAAAGACCUUCUUCAGAUGGAAGAGGCCCAACCUCUCAGGGAUAGGAAUCCUUAACUAGCUACCAGGCUCAGAGCUACCAAUCUGUUGCCGUACAAUUAAUUCUGGUGGCAUACAGUGAAGGAAUAAGGUUUCUCUGUGGUUCGGCAACAUAAUCACACGUGAAGCAGUGCCUAUAAAUCACAGGUGUGUGCCGUUCCUGCUAAUUGGUGAACUAACCUAUUAACAAGUCUCUUAAGUGUUACACGAUUUAGAUAUGUGAGCAGAGAGAUCCGUUAUACUGGGGAAUCCUGAAAUUUGUACGACUUGCCUACAAAGAGCAGAGCAAGAUACCUGCCUGGAGGUUGCUGUGCUGAAUUUCAGUUCACACUUAAGGAGGGCAUUUGCUUUAGUCAUUGCCAGCUCCCACUCAUAACUUGAAAAGCCUCAAAUUGUGCCGGCUACAGGGGGUCAUACUAAAUUGUUGUCAGCAUUGAACGAAAGUCCUAAGCACAUCGUUCCGAGCAACUGAUAUAAGAGUAAGUAGAGCUUUGAACAAAGGCAAAUGCGUCGGGCAGAGCGUUUGGAGAUACGUAUUUUGAAUAAAAAGUUAAACUUUGUGCAGUCCGAAUACAAAACCCUUGAAAGCAUUGUAUAUAAGUUUGAGAGACAAAGAAAAGCACCAUUCGAGAAGGCUGAUUAAUUGAAUUGCUCUUCACUGUGCAUGCCAACGGUGACGGAAAUAUAUUUAUCAAUACACUUUUUAGUCACACGAAAUGGGUACCAUCUAAACCAAGGAAGAGACUCGAGGAUGCACAAAAGCACUGUUGAAUGUCUUCUGACGAUGGUUUGGUGAGUGAAAUGUAAAGCCAGGAUUUACAAAUAUUACACAAGUGAACACUGUUACUGCACUCAGGCUGAAAAAUCCUGUUCAAAUCCAAUAAGUGGUUUAAGAUGUGCAAAUAGAGGCUUCUGCAGGGAGUCAGGCAUUAGAAGCCACCUGGAGCAUGUGCUAGAGAUUGUAUCCAUCAAUACAGCAGCUGGGCUGAAAUUAUAAAGAGAGCUGCUUUUCAUCACGCUUGUUUUAAUGCAUACAUUUCUCCUGUCACUGGCACCCCAGGAAAACUGCUAAGCACAAAAAUGAAUGGUGCCCAUUACCUGAUAUUCAUACUUGUGACAACAGAGGAAAGAAUCACAACACAACAGUAAGCAAAAAAAUUGAUAUCCAAAUUAUUUUUAAGUUGCUGCAGUAGGAGAAAAUCUUGAAAACCAAUUGGCAAUAUUUUAAUAUGAGAAGUGGGGGGGGGAAGCAGAGUCAUUUCAUAGUUGAUUGUAAAUGUCCUUCUUCGACGAUAUAGAUGGGCCCUACAAUUAUUUUCAAUGCUGGGUCACAUUCUAAACUACAUUUUUGUACUUGAGAAUGGGGGAGAGAUGUGUUCUCUAGUAUGAGACUCCAUGCAAAAUGCUGGUUGGGGAAAAUCUUAGGAGCCUGGGUUGGAUCCAACCUGUCCCAAUGUCGGAGCCAGAAAGCACAGUCCCUGAAGUGGUUCUGUAACCGUUGGGCUGAUGGACUGGUGUUCAGGCCUCUCUAGCAUUUCAUGUGACUCAUAACUAAAUAGCAAGUGCCAGCUAUUGCCUAAUUGUGCUUUAAUGAUGAUGGCACAAUCUAUAUAUAACAUACUAUUAAACUGAUGCCUUUGGAACAACAUGGAAACAGCCUCAGUAAUAGCUAAUUAUUAAAAAGACAAAACAAAUCAAUGGUAACGAAAAGAGAUCAGUGGUUGCUUCACGUCUGGGGUGAGGACGAGUUUGACUGGAAAGAGGCAUGAAAGUCGUUUUUGGGGGAACAGAAAUGUGAUCUACCUUUGUUGUGACAGUGAUGACACAAGUGUGUACAUUUAUCAAAGCUCAUUGCCCUGAGUAAUUAAAAUGGAUACAUUUCAUCGUGUAUAAAUUAUACCUCAAUAAAGCUGAUCUUUUUGAAAGCAUCAGUAUCAGAAACAUCAUUUCAGUAUGUUGUGGUUUGAUAUUUUAUAUAACCGACUUCAAUUUUCUCUUUCUCUUUUCAUUUGUUAAAUGUCUGCGAAUUCGCCUUUCACUACCUAAGAGGACUUGGGCCAUUUGUCGAGCUUGUGGAGCUUACUGGAGAGUGAAUUUGCAUUUCAGAAGGAAACUUUCUAC